AGAGUUUGAUCCUGGCUCAGAGCGAACGCUGGCGGCAGGCUUAACACAUGCAAGUCGAGCGGGCGUAGCAAUACGUCAGCGGCAGACGGGUGAGUAACGCGUGGGAACGUACCUUUUGGUUCGGAACAACCCAGGGAAACUUGGGCUAAUACCGGAUAAGCCCUUACGGGGAAAGAUUUAUCGCCGAAAGAUCGGCCCGCGUCUGAUUAGCUAGUUGGUGAGGUAACGGCUCACCAAGGCGACGAUCAGUAGCUGGUCUGAGAGGAUGAUCAGCCACAUUGGGACUGAGACACGGCCCAAACUCCUACGGGAGGCAGCAGUGGGGAAUAUUGGACAAUGGGCGCAAGCCUGAUCCAGCCAUGCCGCGUGAGUGAUGAAGGCCCUAGGGUUGUAAAGCUCUUUUGUGCGGGAAGAUAAUGACGGUACCGCAAGAAUAAGCCCCGGCUAACUUCGUGCCAGCAGCCGCGGUAAUACGAAGGGGGCUAGCGUUGCUCGGAAUCACUGGGCGUAAAGGGUGCGUAGGCGGGUCUUUAAGUCAGGGGUGAAAUCCUGGAGCUCAACUCCAGAACUGCCUUUGAUACUGAGGAUCUUGAGUUCGGGAGAGGUGAGUGGAACUGCGAGUGUAGAGGUGAAAUUCGUAGAUAUUCGCAAGAACACCAGUGGCGAAGGCGGCUCACUGGCCCGAUACUGACGCUGAGGCACGAAAGCGUGGGGAGCAAACAGGAUUAGAUACCCUAGUAGUCC
rnacentral:rRNA from 1 species